rnacentral:lncRNA from 1 species
AUGGCACCAAAAACAAAGGAGGAAGCCCUUGCCCACCCCAAAGCCAAAGUCAAAGCAAAGGCUUUGAAAGAACAAGAAGGCAGUGCUGAAAGGCAUCCACAACCACACAAAAUAAGACUUGCCACCCACCUUCCAGUGGCCUAAGACAACGCAGCUCCAAAGGCAGUUCAAAUGUCCUAGGAAGAACACCCCCACAAAAAACAAGCUUUAUCAUUAUGCCAUUAUCAAGUUCCCCUUGACCACUAAGUCAGCCAUGAAGAAGACACAACCACAUUUGUGUUUACUAUGGAUGUCAAGGCCAACCAGAUCAAACAGGCUGUGAAGAAGCUCUAUGACACUGGCAUGGCCAAGGUAAACAUACUCAUCAGGUCUGAUGGAGAGAAGAAGGUGUAUGUUCAACUGGCUCGUAACUUAACGAUGUUUUGAAUGCUGCCAACACAAUUGAGAUGAUCUAA